rnacentral:rRNA from 1 species
AAACUAGGAUUAGAUACCCUAUUAUACGGAGAAAAAAAGUCUUUAGGUAGUAAUUGCUAGGGUCCCGAAACCUAAAGGAUUUGGCGGUGCCUGAUUCAAUCAGAGGAACCUGCUCAGUAAGCGAUAAUCCGCGGUAAAUCUAACUCGUCAGAGGUUUGUAUACCGUUAUCUUAACCCCCCCCAGAAGGACCCGUUAAAAUAGAUUACCUUAGCAAGUUAGAUCGAGGUGCAGCUUUGAGGAGGAAGGGUGGGUUACAGUUUACGCGCAAUUGGACAAUCUUUGAAGCAACGGGUUGACAAAUAGGAUUUGAAAGUAAUUCGAGUUUAAUACGCUUGGAUGAAUGCAGUCUCAGGUGCGCACACAUCGCCCGUCGCUC